CUGGUAUUAAUGAUUUUUUGGAAUACGAGAGAUCUUCAGCUAUUUUGCUAUUUCGAUAGCUAUGAAAUCAUCAUUGGACUGUCAUUUCGGGAAGAUAACUCGAUGCCCAGAUCCAGACGAUUUGAUUCUGACUAGUAAAUCUUGGCCAUGUGUCCCAACAUCAUUGGCUCUAAGCUAUUCAUGUGGAUAAUGGUGAGGUGGCACGAUCUAGAAGCAGGUGCGUUGAAUCAUCUGAC
rnacentral:lncRNA from 1 species